UAUAUAUAUACACACUAUAUUUAUAUAUAUACUAUGUAUAGUAUAUAUAUGUUAUACUAUUGCAAGCCUUGGCUAUAACAUUAAUUUUUGCUUUGUACUGUUCUGAAUUCUGUACAUUUCUACAAAUAUUAUUACAUUAUAUAAUUUAAAAACUAUCAUGACUUAUGAUUUCUAUAAUUUAACAGUUUUGGUUUUUUUUUUAGAGAGAGAGUUUCACUCUGUCAUCUAGGCUGGAGUGCAGUGAUACGAUCAUGGCUCACUGCAGUCUCGACAUUCCUGGGCUCAGGUGAUCCUCCCACCUCAGGCUCCUGAGUAGCUGGGACCACAGGUGCAGACUACCAUACCUGGAUAAUUUUUGUAUGUUUUGUAAAGAAAGAGGAGUCGCACUAUGUUGCCAAGGCUGAUCUCAAACUCCUGUGCUCAGGGAUCCAUGAUGACCUUCCAAAGUAUUGGGAUUACAGUGAAACCGGCAAAAAACCAAGAAAUUUGCUAUGUAUGGUCACUAUUGAUAUAAAAAAAUGCGUUUUUAAUGCUUGAAGAGUCAUCAAUCAUCAUUGGCCUAGAAAGAGUGAAGAAAGCAAAAAAAGAUCCUGAAGAAAUUGUUAAAAAGAUUGUUCAAGGCAAAAUAUAUGUUUUAAAAAUAUAGGGUUAUGGAGAAUUUUACUGAACUCCAUGAACUUGGGCACUGGCAGACCAUUUUUACUUUGGUGUAAGACAUAUUCAGGAAACAAAUGAGAUGUUUGUUGAGAGGCUGCAAGACAGGUUAAUUAACUUUCUUUUGUAGAACAAAAGGCUACCCUUUAAUGUGAAAUCCUCAGGAAGCUAUUCUGAAUUGGGUGAUUCAGGCAGUCAUAUUUAUUCUGUUUGAAUUCCAUUUGAGUUUAUUGAUUGCUUCAUCUAAGAAAUAAACAAUCAAGAAAAAAACAUGAAGCAACUGUAGAGACAGCAACUCGGGUCUACCAGGCUUUACUCUAAAUCACAAGAAGAGAUAUAAACUAAAUUGCUUCCAUUCAUAUAUGCUUCUAGGCUGUUCCUUAUGUGAAAAAUUACUUAUCUUCUAACUUCUUUCUUUCUUUUCUUUUUGAGACGGAGUUUCACUCUUGUUACCCAGGCUGGAGUGCAAUGGCGCAAUCUCAGCUCACCGCAACCUCCGCCUGCUGGGUUCAGGCAAUUCUCCUGCCUCAGCCUCCUGAGUAGCUGGGAUUACAGGCACACGCCACCAUGCCCAACUAAUUUUUUGUAUGUUUAGUAGAGACGGGGUUUCACCAUGUUGACCAGGAUGGUCUCGAUCUCUUGACCUCGUGAUCCACCUGCCUCGGCCUCCCAAAGUGCUGGGAUUACAGGCGUGAGCCACCGCACCCGGCCCUUCUUCUGUCUUUCAUUAGCUAAGACGAAAGCCUAGUAGCUAGCCAUAAAGAACUUUGCAUUAAACAAUUGGAAAACAAUCUUUCCUAGGAGACUAACUAAAUGAAAAUAUGUUGGAUUUUAUCAUCAGCAUGAGUUGAUGUUCUUUUUAUCUGUGAGAUGGCUGUUUGGUCUCUGCUGACCUGAAGUGCCAGCACUUGCUGGAAACCAUAGCUGUAGGGAAGACAGCUAUGAUUAAUGAUUCCACAGCAUCCCAGGUAUAUGGAACAUAAAAUUCAUUUGCAUUUUCAGUUACAAAACAAAAUAUAUUUAGUAAUAAACAAUACCUUCAACCUUGAUCUUGCCCUAAACUAAUCCUAUUCGUUAAUCAAACUAAACCAUUAUUCUAAGCCCCAAAGGCUUAAUAUACAGCAAAACUUUGUCAGAUACCGUGAGGAAGAGUUGAUUUGUGAUUGUGGUGAUAAAAAGAAGAAUGGGCUUUUGUUUCCUUCAUUUUUUCUGAAGCUUGCUGUUUAAAACACACCUAAAAUUCAUAAUUUAAAACCUUCAAUUUCUUGAGCUAGUGAUAUCUGUUUGUCAUUCAAAUAGCUGCUGCUAUGCAAAGGGUCACACAUCAUAGAAACUGUAGAGUAGAGCCAAUGUUUCUGUUUAUGAACAUGUGAAGACAGAUGAGGGGCUGGGAGUCCACCUGGGAAUAGAAUAACCUAGCAUAGAACACGUGUGAAAUCUCACUCUGGCUGAAACAAAAAGGUCUCUGAAAUCUUCAGUCACAUUUUCUUUCUUUCUUUUUUUUUUUUUUGAGACGGAGAUUCGCUCUUGUUACCCAGGCUGGAGUGCAAUGGCGCGAUCUCGGCUCACCGCAAUCUCCGCCUCCUGGGUUCAGGCAAUUCUCCUGCCUCAGCCUCCCGAGCAGCUGGGAUUACAGGCACGCACCACCGUGCCCAGCUAAUUUUUUGUAAUUUUAGUAGACACGGGGUUUCACCAUGUUGACCAAGAUGGUCUCGAUCUGUUGACCUCGUGAUCCACCCGCCUCGGCCUCCCAAAGUGCUGGGAUUACAGGCUUGAGCCACCGCGCCGGGCCUUCAGUCACAUUUUCUUGGCUUACUGACUCAUACACUGCAGCAUGUUGCCAUCAUGUUACAUAUAUUUACUCUCUACUAAAUUUUAAUUUUAGCCCUUUACCUUAGGAACUGUUUCUUGUGGUAUAAAAAAUUCAUGAUAAUUAAAUUUUAAUUAUUCAAUCAUUUUAAGAUCCAUUGACUUUGACAACAUGUAUAAACAACCUUAAAUAUUUUUUAUCUCUUGGUCUAGUGAUUCCACUUUUAAUAAUCUAUCCUAAGAUAAUAACUGAAUAAGGAUAAAUAAGUUAAUGUGUGUGUGUGUGUCAAGAUGUUUAUCACAACAUUAUAUAAUAGAAAAAAACAAAAUACAAUAAUAGAGAAAUUUAAAAUAUUUUUCAAAUUAUUUUUAAAAUAAAAUUUAAAACAAUCAUGUAACAAGAUAUUAAACCCUCACUAAAAAGUUUCCCAAAUAGUUUUAGAAGCUAUUUGGGAAAAGUUUUGUUUUCAUUUUAACUAUAAAAAUUGAGACUAAAAUGGAAUGUUACAAAAUUUACUAUAUGUGGAAUUUAAUAUACUUGUGAUAAAUUUGCAAGCAUGCAUUUUUUUAAAAUCAAAGUAAAUACAUCAAUAUGGUAAACUUGGUUAUUCUUGGGCGGUUGAAUGCUGAAUGAUUUAAAAAAUUUUCUUCUAUUCACUACUUUCUAAGUUUUUUUCAUUUAUUAAUGAUCAGAAAAAGAUAUAAAGUCAGUAAGUACAAUUAUAGAAUACAAAUACAUUUUACAUGAUUAUCACAUGCUUUAUGCAGUCUACUAUUUACAAGACUAUAUGAAAGUUUUUUAUUCUUUUUAUUUUACUAAGAAGAAAACUAAACUGUUUCCUGGCUUUUAAUUUCCUUAGCAUAGCUUCAAGUUUCUCACCUGCGAGGGAGUUAAGGUUAAUAUAUUGCCAUCUGGAUUUGAAUGGCCAUCAAAUAAAAAUAUAGUGAGAGUUAAAUUUAAAAACUAAGACACAUUAAAAAGUUAUUACAUAGCAAACUAGGAAUAGAGAGAAAUGUUCUCAACUUGAUAAAGAACAUCUACAAAAAAACUAACAUAUUUAAUCGUGUAAAACUAGAAGUUUUAGUGCUAAGAUCAGUAAGAAGGCAGGCAUGUCUCUUCUCACCACUCCUUUUUAACAUCAUAAUAGAUGUACUAGCUAAUUAAAUAAGAAAGGAAAAGAAAAGUAAGGGAAAUAAAGGUAUACAGACUGGGAAGGAAGAUAUAAAGCUGUCUUUCUUCAUAGAUAUCAUCGUCUAUGUAGAAAAUCUGAAAGAAUCAAUAAAAAAACUAGUCAGUAAAUAUAGCAAGUUUUUAGGAUACAAGAUUAUUAUACAAAAGUCAAUUGUUUCCCUAUGUACCAACAACAAACAGGUAGAAUUUGAAAUUGAAAACAAACUAUGAC
rnacentral:lncRNA from 1 species